GAAGCGGUGAAUUCAAGCCCCGGUAAACGGCGGUGGUAACUAUAACCAUCCUAAGGUAGCGAAAUUCCUUGUCGGGUAAGUUCCGACCUGCACGAAUGGCGUAACGACUUCCCCACUGUCUCGACCAGGAGCUCGGCGAAAUUGCAGUACGAGUAAAGAUGCUCGUUAAGCGCAGAAGGACGAAAAGACCCCGGGACCUUUACUAUACCUUGGUAUUGGCAUUCGGUGUGGAUUGUGUAGCAUAGGCGGGAGGCCGAGAGGCGCGGUCGCCAGAUCGCGCGGAGCCGUAAGGUGAAAUACCGCUCUGUUCGCAUUGGAUGUCUAACCUCGAACAGUCAUCCUGUUCAGGGACAGUGCCUGGCGGGUAGUUUAACUGGGGCGGUUGCCUCCCAAAGAGUAACGGAGGCGCCCAAAGGUCCGCUCAGCCCGGUUGGCAAUCGGGUGGCGAGUGCAAGUGCACAAGCGGGCUUGACUGCGAGGACGACGGUCCGAGCAGGGACGAAAGUCGGGACUAGUGAUCCGGUGCCGGUGUACGGACGCGGCAUCGCUCAACGGAUAAAAGGUACCCCGGGGAUAACAGGCUGAUCAUUCCCAAGAGUCCAUAUCGACGGGAUGGUUUGGCACCUCGAUGUCGGCUCGUCGCAUCCUGGGGCUGGAGCAGGUCCCAAGGGUUCGGCUGUUCGCCGAUUAAAGCGGCACGCGAGCUGGGUUCAGAACGUCGUGAGACAGUUUGGUCUCUAUCCUCUGCGCUCGUUGGAAUGCUGAGGAGGCCUGCCCAUAGUACGAGAGGACCUGGGUGGACGAACCUCUGGUAUGCCGGUUGUCACGCCAGUGGCACGGCCGGUUGGCUACGUUCGGAAGGGAUAACCGCUGAAAGCAUCUAAGCGGGAAGCCUGCUCCAAGAUAAGCAUUCCGUGGAACCUUCGAGUUCCUGUAGUCCCCAUGCAGAACACGUGGUCGAUAGGCCGGACGUGGAAGCCCCGCGAGGGGUGGAGCCGACCGGUACUAACGGACGAAAGGCAACACUAA
rnacentral:rRNA from 1 species